rnacentral:misc_RNA from 1 species
CUGCAAGCUCGGCACCGUAGUCCCCUCCCCCUAUCUCUGCCGUAAGUGUAAAGCACACGCGCGCAUACAGCACAAAGGCAACGCCUCCUCGGCUGCCACCCACCCACAGGAACACAUACAUUUCUAGGCGCCGCAACUCCCAGGGUGCGCGGGGCCCUUCCUGUGCCUGCGGCUACUGCCUGUACAACGCGCGAUUUUCUCCCUAUCCGCUUCAGUUUGUGCGCAUUCUCGUCCACGGGCGGCGGGGGAGAGGCAGGGUGGGCACGUGGAGUUGUGGUGUCUCUGUCGCUCUCUCUGUGCGUGCGUGCGCCGUUACUGCGCAGCACGUGGCAUUCGGAUACAUUAUUCGCCCGCAACGGAUCUGCUGACGUGAGGAGCACACGCGAACAGAAGAAACGAAGGCACGGGAAGCGAAGGGGCACAGCAAUACGAGAGACGAAACACACAGGCACGUGUGGCUUCGGCGCCCGCGUCUUGUCACUUCUCUCCUCGUCGUUGUUUCUGCUCUUUGCGGUGACAUCCGCGUUAACGACGUCCUCACGCGGCCAUACAGGCACAGAUAGACGCACAGACGCGCGCGCACACACACACACACACACACACAUGCAAAGCAGCUCGUGCCAAUCGAACGUGUGAGUCAGUGUAGGCUUUUUGAUUUCUGUACCGUUUUUGGUUCGUGUGUGUGCGCGUGCGCCAGGUCUCCUUUUCGCACGUCGUGUGUGGUGGAUGACUGAGCGACUGCUGCUUCUACCCUCGUGGCCUCCUUUGCGGUAGCCGUUCUGCUGUUGUUUCUCGACCGUCGUACAAGAGGUUGCUGCUUGCCAACGAGGACGAAGAGAGAGAGUGGAGCCGGGAAUGAGGUACAGCGCGUACCACUGUACACAUACACAUACAUAUACAUACACAUACACCUGCUUUCUCAUAGAUCUUCGCGCCAUCACCUGUGCCCCACCGCUCCUUCUCCAGCGCCGACACCCUUUUUGAACAUUCCGACCUUGAGUUGAGCAAGCAGUCAAGAAGGGAAGGUUCGUGGAGGAGAAGAGGCGCUGCGGUGGCGAUCCUAAAGCAGUGCAGCGAGCCGCGGCACCUCGCACUCGAUCGACACAGAUACACAGAUACACACACGCACACUUCACUGCAGUCUUGCCGGGUGUGUCUGCAUCCGUGUGCGUGAGUAGAUCAGCCCUGAUGUAGAGCGUGAGCGGCGCAGCUGAGCGAUCGACAAAGUGCGCAGAGAGGGGCAUCGCAGCAAAAGGCUCACGGCCACUCGAAGGCAGCACUCGGGGCCGCAUACGCACAGUGAUUUCACCUUGACCCGCGCACCGCCAUCUGCUUCACGCGAACGUGUGGGCUGCUCCACCGUAUUCCAGCACCGCAGCGCCACACAUUACAGUAGGCAGAAACACACGAAGACCAGGGCGCUUGUCGAGAAUGACCGUGGAGCACAAGAGCAUCGCGAUCGCCAUCUGGGUAUCAUGUGCCGUGCUGCUGGUCGUGGCCGUCUCCCUCACCAUCUUCUUGUUUCUCUGUCAGCGUCGGCGGCGCGCCGCGCGACUGAGGCGCCGCCUCUAUCUCAAGUCUUUUACUGAUGGUCAGCAGCGAUACGCGAAUAAUGAUGCGUGGGGCACCGAGGGUGCGAGCUCUGUUUUGAAUCCAGAUGCUCUGCACGGCAGCGCCGCGGCGGCGUUUUACCGCGGGUUUCAGCGUUACGCUGGGGAGGAGCUGGAGGCGAUACCGUCGCCCGCUAGCGCCUCUAGCUUCCCUACGCCUCUAGUCGUUUACUUGCGCGUCCGUGCCGCGCAGGUGUACACGGAUGCCUGCGACAUUCUCCUAACCGUCGAUCGGCUGCGCGACAGUCUGCCGUCUGACCACAGCAGUUCCCAAAUCCUGGGCAACGACGGCUACUACCACGACGACUUUCUUCUCUACACGGCACCGCUGGAGUUUCGUGUACCAGGCUUGUACAUGAUCCAGGCGCACACGGUGCGCCCCGUUGAUAAGGUAGUCGGCGCCGUGCACAAGUUUGUUUACGUGGUGACUGGGGUGGCCCCAUCAAGUGGGCUGACGCCGCCACUACCGCCGGCGAAUCCGCCCCUGCUCACGUACGCGGAGGGCAGCUCAGCAAACAACAACACAAGCUCGAUUGAUAUCGACAUUGCACGGCGACAGGCGGAGCGGGCACAGGCAAACGGGGAUGAGCUUCAACAGACUGCGCACGUGAGUCCGCCUGCGCAUAUGCAAGCCCCUUCCGCUACGGUGGAGCCCUCAGCGGACGCCGCCGGUGACGUGCCGCUGCCACCGGUCAUCUCCCCCAGCGAGGGAGAGGUGACCACGUCCACAGAAAUCGUCAUCACACCGCACGAGCUGAGCACGUCGCCCGAUCAGCUGCGGUACAGCCUUGACGGUAGCUACCCCACGCUGAUCUACACGGCCCCGUUUAGGCUGAGUCUGCCGCCACCGUCGGUGCUUCCCUCGCAGCGCCGUCAGGUGAUUGUGCAGGCCAUCGCCGUGCAUGCUGCCGCAGCGGCGCUUGGCGAUUGCUCCGCUGCCAUCUCGGCAUGCUCGAGACCGGUCAGUGGCAGGGCGAGCGUCAUCUCCCGCGCCGUGCUGCUGGUGCGGCCUGCUGGGCUCUCGUACUUUGACCCACGGGUGCCGACGCCGUCCAUGCGGCUACGCGCUACCAGCGCCACGCUGUACUUUGACGAAUCGGACAACCCGCCACAGACGCAGACGCUCUACGAGCUCGUCUUCGUGGACGAGGCGCGGCGCAAGGUGAAGUUUAGUCGACAGCGCGCGCAGCUUUACGACGGAAAUCCUGUCGCGCUGACAGACAACGUCGCCACUGUUCACGCGUGGACAGUCAUGAGCAGCGCUGCUGCUGCGGAGGGGUUCAAUGGCCGCGCCGAAGCUGCCGCAGAAGAUCGCGUGCGCAGCGUACCAGCCAUCUACGACUGCAGCCGAGCGGCCACUGAGCGCGGCAAGCUCAGUCGCCGACGGAUUGAGCAGUACAACAUCCGUCCUGAGCAGCUGCUUCCGCCGCCGGUGAUUUGUGUGUCGUGCAGCGAGAUGAAGCUGAUCUUUGACGACCCGCCAGCCAACGGCCGCAUCGCCUACACACUAAACGACACCGAGCCAGCGUUGUUCGACGUGAGCCCGCCGGCGUGCGCUGUUCCGACGGGCGACGGCGUCGGCUGCGUUAAACACGACGGUGACAAGGGGCGCAGUCGCGGGGGCAAGGGAGACGACCAUGCGAGCCCGAUUGUCGGCGAUCGGGACGGUGCGCACACCUACAUAUAUCAACCUGGCAAGCACAUUCACGUGACGCUCAUGGAGACGCAGCAGGUCUACGUGACGGCGCGUGUCUUCCUGCCAAUUUUCGAGGGCAGCGACGGAGCCUUGUACGGCGACAGAGGCGCGCAGGGAGGUAGCUGCUUGGGUAGUGGGAGAUUACUGGGCUACCGCUACGGCGGGGUCUUUCAUCGCGGGUUCUACUUCAACAGCAGCUAACCAGAUUGCGAUCCCCCUUAAUGGCGUCUCCGUGCCGUUUUUGCGGCUGCGCCUGCGAGCAUGCGUGUUUGUGUGCUGGAGGAGGAGGUGGUGGAAAGGACAAUGCCAUUCGGAGUGCGUUGCUUCUCUGUUUUGCCCGGACGGCAACCGCCUGCUUUGUGAGGCGCACGCGAUCCACACCCACAUAUGUGUAGCGAGAAGGCCAUGCUGUAAGGAUCCCGGUGUGUUGUUGUCUUUUUCCUUUGCGUGUCUCUGGUUCCCGACUCUUUUUUUUUUUUCUUCGGACCUUGGGUUGCGUGCAUGCGUAUCUGGCUCGAACACCGACACUCAAGCGAAGCGAAGUAUAUAUAUGUGCGUGCCUGUGCGUUUCUUGGCCAUCUCUCAUUUUAUUGUGUGCUCUCAAUCUAAAUCUAUAGAUAGAUAUCUAUAUCGUUGCUGCAGUUUUUUCGUUUAUGGACACACGGCAAUCGAAACCAACGCGCGCACACAAGCCUAAACACACACAUAAGUAUAUGCAUAUAUUCAUGUAUAUAUGCAUAUGCAUGCGGGUACUCAUUGCACACACACGCGUUCUUG